GUAUCCCCCUUUCCCUACACAACUGACUAGGUAUCCCCCUUUCCCUAUACAACUGACUAGGUAUCCCCCUUUCCCUACACAACUGACUAGGUAUCCCUCUUUCCCUAUACAACUGACUAGGUAUCCCCCUUUCCCUACACAACUGACUAGGUAUCCCCCUUUCCCUAUACAACUGACUAGGUAUCCCCCUUUCCCUAUACAACUGACUAGGUCUCCCCCUUUCCCUUAUCAGGGAUCUAACGUGUAGUUCUUCAAAGGGACAUCUGGGUAGAUAGUAGAAUACAGCUUGGCGUACUGUAUGUUUUAAUAUAUUAUGUGUAUGACAUUUAGCAGACACUUUUCCAAAGCAACAUACAUUUCUACGUAUGGGUGGACCUGGGAAUCGAACCCACAAUCCUACUGUUGCAAUCGACAUGCUCUGUCAACUGAGCCAUACAGAACCAGCUUGUUAUAUUGUAGGUUCAGACAGGACCAGUUUGUUAUAUUGUAGGUUCAGACAGGACCAGUUUGUUAUAUUGUAGGUUCAGACAGGACCAGUUUGUUAUAAUGUAGGUUCAGACAGGACCAGUUUGUUAUAUUGUAGGUUCAGACAGGACCAGUUUGUUAUAAUGUAGGUUCAUACAGGACCAGUUUGUUAUCGUUUUGGUUCAUGCCUUUUUGUUCAUACAUAGAUGUGUACAAGUAGUGUGUGUGUGUGUGUGUUCGGGUGUCAGGAAAUUGAGCUCAGCAGGGCUCUGCGUGCCAGUCCUCAGUCCUAGCCUGUGGCUGGUGUCCUGGUGUCAGCAGCAGGAGGAAAUCCUCUGACAGAUCAGCUCCCUGCAGCAGGGAAGAGGCCAGGCCACAGGGUGUGUGUAUGUGUGUGUGUGUGUUGACAGAUCAGCUCUCUGAAGCAGGGAAGAGGCCAGGCCACAGGGUGUGUGUAUGUGUGUGUGUGUGUUGACAGAUCAGCUCUCUGAAGCAGGGAAGAGGGAAGA
ensembl:lncRNA